UGAUUUGCAGCUGUAAACAGGGUCUGCAGCACAAGACUAGCCAAAAAAGCAAAAUAAUGGCUUGCAACAAUCCUGGAUCUGGAAGAGAUUAUGAUGACAAAGAAGUCUGGAACAAACAAGAAACCUCAGAACCACCAUAACUGUGUCUGCUACAAUGUGUGUUCUUGCAGCCAGCUGAUUGAUUCAUUUUAUCAACUCUUGAAUGGUUGAUUAUCAGAACUGAAUUCAGAGCUGUUCCUGUCUGUAGUAUCAUUAUUAGAGUGGACUUCAGAAUGAGGGCGUUGCUUGUUUAAAAACUUCACUCCAUGAAGCUCUCCAAAUUCACCUCAAAUUAGACUGCUUCUGGAAAACAGAUUUGUUCCUUCAAGCAGAAACGCUUGUGGCUUUCCUGACUGGACUUCUAUGGAUUCUUCAUGCCAACCUUAAGGACUGUGGUCUUCUGCAUGAUACACGUCAAUUUCAAACAAGACAUUUUGUGGUGAAACACUUGAUGUACCGGAAGAUGAUAUGAAAUUUUAUUUCAUAUAACUGAAUCUCAGAAGUAAUUCCUCGGGAGCAAGAAACAUUGAAAAAAAAAUAAUAAAAGGUCCAUCAUUAAUGAAUGUCUUGAGCAGUGUUCUUUUUUGUGCACAGAUCAAUGGAUCUUUUCAAGUCCAAGCAGGGAUGUAGUCAAUGCUGACCUCGAGGCAACAUUUUGCUGGCCUUGGUCCGAGUCACUGUACAGAAUCUAUGGGAAGUUAUCUCAAGCUGCCUCAUGACUCGGAAGAAUCAGCCUCGACCUCAUCCCUGUAUGCAAGUGUGAUAUAUAUCUACGAUGCAAUCUCAUGAUUAAAGAGAGAGAAACAAGAGAGCUUCAGAUUUUGAAGUGUAGCAAUCUCCUGAAAUGUAUGUUUUAUUUGAAAAUCAAACUAAAAUAACUUAAUUGGGCCUGUUAUUCAUUAUGAUAUGUAUGAAUGAAAGCAUUUAAGCAAUUUAGUGCUCUUGCAAAACAAAUUCUGAGUUGUAUUAUUUUACUGCAAACCCUCAGAAAUAUUGAUAAGCAUUUGCCAGUGCAUGAAGUGUUUUAAUAAAGAGUGGCUUUUGUGCCUAUGGAGAGUUAUUAUUUUUUCAAUAUUUCUUCAUACAAAUUAUUUCAGAAAUCACAAUUUGAAUAUUCCAUGACCUCUGAUAACAAGAGCAGAAUAUUUUUGGUGAUUGACACACUUUGAAAUGAUAUUAGGAGAGAAUGUAGUAAAGUUGUGUGAAAAUAAUGGCAUAAUUGCUGUAGAGGCCUACGAAGAUUGAAAAUAACAUUAUUUUAAGUUUUUCUUGAAAAAACCUAUGGAAAAUUGAAAAUGGCAUAAUUUACACAAGUUUUCACACAAAAAAAUACAAAAAAAAAAUUAGGGGGCAGAAUUAGUACACAAGCCUAUGGACAAUCAAUUGAACGUAAAUCGAGCGCAAAUUUUGCGCGUCCUCCAAAAUCUCACAUAAGUUACGUUCGAUUUGCAAUCAAUCGCAAAGCUUGCGCUUGAUCUACGUUCAAUUGAUCAAACGCAACUUCUUCUUGCAACAGGAUUGAACGUAACUUGCGUUCAAUUGCAGAUUUGCGUUUAAUCGGAGGACUUACGCUCAAUUUUGGGAGUUGCGUUCGAUUUGCGUUCAAUCGCAAGUUUCUUGCAACACCCCAUUAGAAUGGCAACUUUCUUUUGCAUUUUUAUUUGACCAGAUUAUGACGUGAUUACGACGUCAUUUACUGACCAAUUUACGACAAGUAAAUUUGCUUUCUUAUAUGACCAGAUUAUGACGUGAUUACAACGUCAUUUACUGACCAAUUUACGACAAGUAAAUUUGUUUUCUUAUAUGACCAGAUUAUGACGUGAUUACGACGUCAUUUAUUGACCAAUCUGCGACAAAUAAAUUUGCAUUUUUAUAUGACCACAUUAUGACGUGAUUAUGACAUCAUUUAUUUACCAAACAACGACAAAGAAAUGUGCGUUUUCAUAUGACCACAUUAUGACGUGAUUAUGACAUCAAUUAUUUAUCAAUCAACGACGAGGAAAUUUACAAGUUUAAUUUCAAAGCCACAUACUAUUUUGCCAUUUUUUCAACCUUGCCAUGUUAGCAAGGCUAUUUCUAUUUAG